rnacentral:rRNA from 1 species
UACAGGGGUGCGAGCGUUGUCCGGAAUCACUGGGCGUAAAGGGCGCGUAGGCGGCUUGAUAAGGUUGCGGUGAAAGCCCGGGGCUCAACCCCGGGUCGGCCGUGGCAACUGUCGAGCUGGAGCACUGUAGAGGCAGGUGGAAUUCCGGGUGUAGCGGUGGAAUGCGUAGAGAUCCGGAAGAACACCGGUGGCGAAGGCGGCCUGCUGGGCAGUGGCUGACGCUGAGGCGCCGACAGCGUGGGGAGCAAACAGG